rnacentral:lncRNA from 1 species
UGGCCCAAGUUCAAAAAUAUCCCAGGUCGAGGAAGCUUGAAAGCUCCGUAGGCAGAUGGAAGGAUAGAAGAUCUCCGACAAGUAAAAAGAUCUCCGCGAAGGAGCUAUCACUUGAGAAGUCUGUCCUAGCAAUUCAACGGCUACACUCCUCUGUCCACCUCACGAUCUCAGAUUUUGAUGAAAAUUGAGAGCCAAAGAUAUCUAUGGUGAUUUGGGUAGAUGAAGACCUCUCGGAUAGGAGUAGGAGGAGAUAUUAUCAGUUCUACCACGACCACAACCACAAUACCAAGGAAUACCACCAGCUCAUGGACGAGAUUGAAGCCUUGAUCCAUAGAGGCUAUCUUGGUAAGUAUGUGCAAAAGCGAUACAAUCGAG